AUCAACAUCAACUGCCACCAUUUCGGGAUCCUCAUUACCCGUCCCAUUCCAUUCAGGGUCUGAUCUUACCCAAUUACCCGCGGCACUCAAAGUAUGGUGUGGUUGUAUUCGUGCGACUCUGAGCAAUGAGCUCCAUCCAGAAUGAACAUGGAGAUGUUCUUCUAGUUCCCCCAUUACGAUCAAGCACCUCGAUUCCGAGGGGGUCGUCUCGUCAGAGCUCAGAAUGUUGACGAAUCUAGGGAAACCUCGUGGAUGGAUCGUCAACAGAGACAACUGACAAAACCAACGACAUCCAAGUGAAAUAGAAGACCUGCUUCAACGUGGUGUUUGCUCCUACCUUCUUUUAGUUCGAACGUACAUACGUACUUACGUACGUGCAAUAGGACGAGCAUGAAUGAUGGCAAUGGCGUCGUUUGUUCUUGACAAUCUUGACGACAGAUUUUGACAUGUGUGUUCCGCCAGGAGAGACGAACGAACAACACGCUCGGGGUGUCUGUGGUAAGUUUGACUCUCUGACAACCCGACAACCCGACAACGAGGAGGAACAUUCCAAGGCACUAGGAUCCCGGAUCCAGUCAGCUAGCCACAACACACUCAGUACAUGUAUGAACGCUUCUAGAACAGAAAUAUGAGCCACGGAGAAGAUCCUUUCGGAUUGAGGGGCUUAAUUUGUCGGAGCAGUUCAAGGAAUUAGGUAGAGAUGGAUAUAUGGAAAUUUAGCCGUUACUAUUAAACACUAACAUGAGCAGGUUUGCGGCAUUCCAUUCGGUUUUGGGCACAUAUUAUUAUCUUGGUCCUGAAACAAAUGUAAUUUUUUUUCAUGCCAUUUUUUCAGGCUCCUGAAAUCGCCAAUUGAGCUUGCGAAAUGAAGCAUGGGCAUCACUCUUUGUCAAUUUAUUCCUUAUCAAAAUAGGAAAAUGCACGUGUGCCAAACGGUUGGCUGGCUGCAUGCAUCUGACAUGGUUGUAAGUCAAAGUGACAAGUCACAUUUUAAAGAGCAUUUUUGAUAAAAACCUGCCUUUCGAUCUCAUUACUCCAACGAUGACGGAAAAUAACUACCCUGCAGUAUAUAGGACAGAUGUCUUUUCUCUCAAGUUUUUGUCUUUCGAGGCUGGCCCUGCGGGUGCAAAUUGAUCUUGACAGCGAUCCCGAGAUGAUCGAUCCAAUCUGGUUGUCAUUCAUGGUUUCCUCACAGUUCAAGGCAAUUGUCUCGUUCGGAUGCCUCUGGAUUUUUUGCCUUCACUUUGCAUACGAGCAAGGUUUGUCGCACAACAGAUCUUAAAGUGGGAUUAUCUUGUCAUGUUAAUUACGACAAUUUUAUUUACGACAACCGGGCUAGUGAGGUUGAUCAUCAUCAUCAUCAUCAUCUGACAAGCCAAUGUAAGUUGACAAGGAUCCAAGAUGGCGCGCUGAUGAGUGAGAACAAGUUCAAACUACUUGAAAUGCUACAUUUCCAGCGGCGGAAUAACUGGAAUUCUUCACCUUUAAGCCAGGGCCGACCGACUCAAAGACCCUGAGACCACCCACUUUGGCCCAAGGCUUGAAGGUGGUGGUGGUGCUGGUGCGGGUUACUUCACGAACGAAAUGCCCAAGUCGAAAAUGCAAUAUCAUUGAGAAUAGCUUGGACAUUCUCCGGCCUGAUUUAAAGACACUUGACAAGUGCUUGAACCCGGUUAAUUUGAACGACGGCCCAGAACCAUUCCAAGUGUCUCAACCAUGUGAUUUGAGGGUUAAGACAAAAAUCUAGCCUCCUGGAAUUUAAAGUGCAAUAAUCGUCAGUUUGUCACAUAAAGUUGCCUUUAACGGUAACUCUGCGGUGGGUCAUCUAAGGUGAAGACAAUCCUCAGCAUGAGUUGGAUUAUUGCGGAAAAAAAUAACAACCCGUAAAAUCUGCAUGACCCCGACAAGUUACCGACUUGGAUCGAAAGUGACUCAAAAAAAGAGAAAAAGUUUCACGUGCUAAUGCUCGGCUUCAUCUUGGGUGGCAACAAAAUCAGAUGUCCUCGACGUUUUCGAAUCGGAAUAUCAAGUGAGUCUCCUCCAUCUUGAUAUCUCUUCAUUCAGCGCUCCUUCGAGAUAUUUCUCUCCGUGAUCAUAUUCUUUUUUUCUACGAUGUCUUUAAAUGUAAAAGGGACUUUAAAGUCGCUAGCCUUUCAAAAUGUGCCAAAACGUCAUCGUAAAAGGAGCACCUAUGCAAGACAAAGUGAUUUUGUUUUGUCGAUCCAGUUGCAGUUGGAAGUUUUGCAUUGAUAUUAGUUGGAUCAACUUGUUGGGUGCCUCCAUUUCUCCUUGGUGCCUUCUAAUUGACACUAUCAGUGAGUGACAGUCUCAAAUUUAGCCAGAAAUAGUCGUAUCUCAUCUCCAUCCAUCCUCCAUUCACCGCACUCGGCCGGGUCUUUAGUCGCAAUCCCGUGAGUAGAGGCGGAACAAGUCAGGUUUAGGCUAUCGGGUGGGAAUGAGAGAUUGAAUGUGCAAGCGAGAGUGGAUGGAUAGAUGGAUGGUUGGAUGGAGGUCAAAGAACAUGAUGUUGAUAAUGAUGGCGGCCACGGUUCGAUUUUGAGGGGCUCUUUGGCCCCCAUCGUGCCCUGACUGUGGGACGCUUGACACUGGCUUCGGCUACUUUACGAACCCAGAUACCGACCUAGCGAUAAUGUCAGCACAGGGCUAAAUUGGUCGUACCCGCCAAGAUUUAUGGCCAGUCAUCAAUGCCAAAGACAUUCGAUUUGUUUAUGAGACUGAGCACUCGUCAGUCUCUGGGCGAUCGAUCCAAAUGCGAGACGAGAGCGAGUGAGUGACGAGUGAGGAGUGACCCGCUUCUUCCAAAAACCUGGGUGGCUCACCAAAAAUGCACAACUCGGCAGGAACAAAUCUCUCGGCUUUAAAAGGAUGCAUGAAACAAAAACAUCUUGUGUCACCGAUGACUUCACACGACAAGGACAUCGAGCCCACCUAACUGACGGGCCUGUGUUCUCGUGAGCUAUCACACCAUCAAAUAAGAACCAUAAAAGAAAACUAAUUACAGGCCCCAAUUUAGUUUUUGAUACGUUCCUUGUGGCAGCCGUGAAGGAUUGUGUUGGUUGUAUUAUUCAGAGGACAUGAAAUAGAAUUGCGCAUUACCGCUAGGAGGAGUCCAACACAACAUUGAGAGCGAUUGAGCAAUCCGGCUUGACGUCAUCAUGAGCGAACCAUCAAUCAUGUCGAGGCAACAAAGAGCAAAUGAAAUAAUCAGACAAUUUGCAACAAGACAAAUAAAAUUACCUUAAGUCACCAGCCUUUACCUGACGCGGCGGCGGCUCUUGUCAGCUCCGGUGCCACUAGUUCUCACGCUACAAUGACUUGGAUCUCCAAAAAUCAAGCCAUACCUCAUCACAGGCACCACUCUAAACAAUCCCAGGGCAGUGACAAUUGCUUGAUAUUCUUGCGAACAUCGGACUUUAGGACAUCGUUGCUGAGGCUCAGGGAUGACAUCCUGGACAUGGGUUUGACAAACUCGAUUCAAAUUCCUGUUCAUCCCCCGACCACGAGUUCCCGUUGGCGGUUCGUAUUCCCUCAGAAUGUGCAGAUAGACCUCACUUGAGGCCUCACUCUCCAGUGGGUGGUCCAAGCUCAACCACCAACUUCCCUUGGUCCUUCUUAACAGCUACUGGUUCAGCACCGCUAAUAUAAAAGAGUGGCCAAGGAGUGGGUCAACAAUGCCUAUCUAUCGAUUCUUGAAGAAAGGCGAAGUGCCAUCAGCUGAUGUCAAGAACUGGUCCAGCAGGAUUGGCGGUUUGAUUUGCGAGGCAGCAGUCAUGCCAAAAUGGACCUGACGCUGGCGUUUCUGUUCUGCCUUCAUCAUCCGAGGAGUGACGAGUGGGCGUUGGGCUCCGUCCAAGUUUAGAGCUUUUUGGCGCCAAAACACCUCAAGAUGAUCACGAAUAUUUCUGAUCCAAGUUGUAUGGAGGCGGGGGAAAUCAGUCCACCCGAGAUGACACCCCACUCUAUUACGCUUGUUUUGCUUGUCAGAGGGAUGGUUUAAGUGCAAUACUGACGCACAGAGAGAGACUCAACGGAGACUCGCUUCUCGCUCUGAGCCUCGGAGCCUCUGAACGGACGACAUCAAGCAACCACCACCACCACGUCAUUAUUUGCAUGUAAUUCUAGCCUGGCCUUUCGAACACCGUCGUGGUUCCGAGAACAAAGGAAGUUGGGGACGUGGAAUUGAACAAGACAUUGCUUGUCAAGACGUACAUUUCUUCAAUUUGCUCUUUCGCCAACGCUCGUCGAGCUGGCUUGCUUCUCCUCCUCUUGACAAGUGAGCUACCACCCACUUUCACCAGCAACUCGACACGUUAGGGCCAGGAAACCAACAACCAACAAUGAAUGGAUGGAAUGAAACGGCAUGUCGAUAACAUAAAUUGAAACUGCUUCAA